AUCGGCCUGAAGAUUAGGUUGCUUUCAUCACUGUCUAGAUUAAGUUAGCCCGUGCUCUAAAAUGGUGUUUCAUUUUCAUUUCAUUUUAAAAGAACUAAAAGGAUUUUAAAUUCAUAUAUGAUACAAAAACUACUUUAUUUAUUAAUAAUUUUGCUUUACUUCUUGUAACACUAGGUAAAACAUCAAUCAUGAUAAUUUAAUUGCGCUGGUCACCACGUACCGUGCCAAUAGGGUUGAUGUUAUUCUUUUCUCACAGCGCUGGAAUGCCCGGAAUGCAACCCAGUAGGAAUUUGGCGUGCACACCACUCCCAUUCGCUUGACCAGAUGUUGAUGUUGACUGAGCACAAAUUGUUGUUUUCCUGCUGGCCGGAAGUCCUGCAUCUCGGUGCCUUCAUGUACAACUGCACCGUGUUGAUACGCAGGAUCAUAUGACCCACAUACAAGAGCAUAUUGGCCGCGGAUACAACGGAAGCUUCCGUAGUUCCUGUAGUUGGGUCACCGUUGUGUUUUUGACUUGCGUUCAUCGGAAGUUAUCGUUCGUUCCCAAGCGUAGCAUUUUGUACUGGAUUUCAUAAUGGUUUUGCACUUCUUUCGCUUGCCAUUUCCGGAUCCAGCGCCGUUGACGACUCCGAAUCGAAGCCAGCCUGCUUGUCCCGUUCAUCCCGUAGAAAAACUGGAUGGUCCAGGGUUGGUAGCGACUGAGCGUGUUAAAGGAAAAAAAUAGAAAUAAAAAAUAGAAGAUAGGGUUUUUAAAAUAUUUUUCAAAUAGGGUAGGACAGGAUUAGCACCCCUCAAUUUUGAGUCUGAUUGAAUAAAUAUUAUUAAAGCAACGUCUUAUACCGGUUAAUUGAAGUUCGUCCAACUACUAUCCUUGGUAAAAGUUAUAUGAAAUCAAAAUAAUAAGACAUCAUAAGAAUCAUUGAAAAUAUGAGUAAAUUAUAAUUACCAUUAUCAUAA